CUCAGAUUGAACGCUGGCGGCAUGCCUUACACAUGCAAGUCGAACGGUAACGGGCUUCGGGUGCCGACGAGUGGCGAACGGGUGAGUAAUGCAUCGGAACGUACCUUUCAUGGGGGAUAACGUAGCGAAAGUUACGCUAAUACCGCAUAUUCUGUGAGCAGGAAAGCAGGGGAUCGCAAGACCUUGCGCUGAUUGAGCGGCCGAUGUCAGAUUAGCUAGUUGGUGAGGUAAAGGCUCACCAAAGCGACGAUCUGUAGCGGGUCUGAGAGGAUGAUCCGCCACACUGGAACUGAGACACGGUCCAGACUCCUACGGGAGGCAGCAGUGGGGAAUUUUGGACAAUGGGGGCAACCCUGAUCCAGCCAUGCCGCGUGAGUGAAGAAGGCCUUCGGGUUGUAAAGCUCUUUCGGCCGGGAAGAAAUCGCAUGGGUUAAUACCCUGUGUGGAUGACGGUACCGGAAUAAGAAGCACCGGCUAACUACGUG
rnacentral:rRNA from 1 species